AUGAGAAUUAGCGGAUGGAAAGAAAAACUCUUAUCCACUGGAGGCAAGGAAGUUCUUCUCAAGUCUGUUGUUCAAGCUAUCCCAACUUAUGCUAUGUCGGUCUUUAAAAUUCCUAAAAAAAAUUGUAAAGGAAUAACUGACAAGAUGUCACAUUUUUGGUGGGGUGAUGACGACAACCAGAGAAGGAUGCAUUGGAUGGCGUGGUGGAAAAUGUGUGUCCCGAAAAGCCAAGGUGGAAUGGGUUUUCGUGACAUUCAUUGUUUUAAUUUGGCGAUGUUGGCUAAACAAGCUUGGCGUCUCCUUGAGAACCCAGAUUCCUUGUGUGCCACCAUUUUGUGA
rnacentral:rRNA from 1 species